rnacentral:tRNA from 1 species
AGCUCAGUGGCAGAGCAGCCGAUUCGUAAUCGGCAGGUCGUCAGUUCAACUCUGACC